GUCGAACAUUAACCAGAUUGGGCAGGGCAGAAAGUCGAAGCUUCUUCAGCUCGACCGCAGUCACCUUGCAGGACUCCAGCGAGAGUGAUCGAAGAUUCUUCAGUGUUUUCAGAUGCUGUAAUCCAGCAUUGGUUAUACGGGAGUUCGAGACGUUCAAAGAAACCAAUGCAGUCAGUCCAGAAAGCAACUCCAAAGUCUUAUCGGUGAGGUUGC
rnacentral:misc_RNA from 1 species